GAGGGGCCCCGCUGCAGGCAGCGGGGGUGCUGGGGAGGCGGAGGCCGGGAGAUGCGGGAAGCGCAGAUGGGCUCGGCUGGUGCUGGGGGAAAAGGGCCGGGGACGGUUACCUCAGGGGCUGCUUCGCUUUGUGGCGAAGGGCCGGGCGCGGUGCCGGGCGAGUGGAAGGUACCGAGAGCAGCGCUCGGUCUGAGGGCGGACCGCGGCCUGCCGUGCGUUAGAACUGGGGAAGGUGUUGGAAACAAGUCGGGCUUCGGAGCCGGGAAAACCCCUUUCCCCCCCAAGGCGAAAGUCUAUGGAACGAAGGGCUGUGGCCCGCUGGAAGCGGCGGAGGUCACCCCCGCGUGCCUUGCCAGCACCACGGGUGUUGUUGGGUGUUUAAUGAGGAAGUUUGGCUGAUUAAAAUUGGGAAAGCUUUCGGUAUUACCUGACCAGGACAAUCUCAGGGAGUCUGUAAUUAUAUUUUUUCUCUUUCCCAGGUUCCUCACGACACUAUCCUGGCCCUGAAAUCGGUGCUACUGAAGUUGUUACUUAUUUUAAAUAAAAUAAAAAUCUUGAAAAUCUGCUACCUCGUUUAGGAAAAAAAAAAAAAAACCAACCAAACCCGGGCAGUUUCUUGGUCACUAGAAUGUCUCUCAAAAGUUGCUCGCUUUCUGGACUGGAUUCAACCCAGGAUGUAACUGUUCUUUCCAAACCUCUUCAAAAGCAGGCUAGCCUUUUGAAAACAUUGCCUUUCUCAUAAAUGAGAUGUGACAUGCAGACUUGUUAGUCACUGGGCUGCUCUACCUGUGUUGUUCCUGCCCUGCACGGUAACUGGGUGUUGCUGAGUUAUGACACAACGAGACAGAAAAGAACUGUAAGAUCAUCUGCUAAAUGUUACUGCCCAUAGUACACCAACAUAUCACAAUAACAUUAGCAACAAAUUAAGAUCACCUAGUUAGUCAUUCUAGAGGCUUAGGUCUGACUCCCUAGUUAUUUAUAGCUAAAUAGCUACUAACUGGCUUUCCAGGAGAUUUUCAAUGGAUGAUAUUAGUAAGAAAGCUGAAUUACAGUCAGAAUAAAUACAGAAAGGCAUGGCAUGAACUCAAAAUAAUUUGAAUGAGUUGUAUAUACUAAUAUCAGUAACAAAAUAGUAGUACUAAUUACUUGGCACUUGACACAGCUGAUGGAUAGUAUGGUAACGGCUGACAAAUUAUUUUGGGACUGAGCUAGGGUACUAGAAGCCAGUCUUGAUUCGCCACAAACAUAUGGGUGUGUGUCUAGGUGGUUAAAGUGAUUCAAACAGCUUUUGGGCCUGGUUUCAUUGGGAGUGUUCUUAAGCUGAAGCUAUGUCAGAAGAGUGAAUUUAGCAAAUGCUAGACAAACCUAAAAGAAACUAAAUUUGUCUUAGAGGACAAAACAACUGGCUUGAAAUAUGUAGCCAACCAAGCUAAAAAAGUUAAAAAUACACAACUUUAUUGAGGCCUAGCAGUAGUUUUUCAUGGCUUGGCUAUAUUUUGCCAUUAGGAGAAAAAAAAAAAAAAACAAAAAAAACACCUUAGCAUAAUGAGGUACUGAAGCCAGCUGGGCACAAAUGUUAGAAACAGCAUGAAAGAUCCAAAGCAGCAAAGUGGGGAAUAUUCUCUUGCAGUCUGUUAUUCACAGUGGCCUUUGUCAGUACUGGUAAAGAGAUCAGCAAAAAGAUAUUUUCAGGUAGAAAUAUGAUUUUGAAAUUGUCUGUAUCCCUUUAAAAUGUAAGACUGUAAACCAGGGUAUCUUUUCAUCUAACUUUUCGCAACAGUGUUUAAGAAUUGGUGGAAUAGUUGUCUGAAAAUAAUUAAAAGCCUGUGGAGGUGAGAAAUAAUUUUAUACUUGCUUCAGGAGAUUCCCAGGGUUCUAAAGCACAGGAAUAUAAAGCUUUAAUCAUACUGUGACGGUAACAGCAUGUAGGCUGUGCCAUUUUCUGUUUCUCCAUCUGACCAUUAAAGAAAGCCAUGAUAAAUUUCAUAUAUAUUGCUUAAGUCAUCUAUUGGCUCAGUGAUGACAGAGACUGCAAAGUGCUAUCACACAAGGAGGCUUCAAUAAAGCUUCUUCUGCUGACUUUUACUGCUUAGGAUGAAAUGUGUGGAAUUAAUGAAGGGGAAUAAUUCAUGAGAGGAAAUAUUUGAGAUACAGGUUGUGACAUCAAUUUGUAUUAAAUAAAUAUAGGAAGAGCAGUGAGGUGUGUGUAUUCACUUUUUCAGUGUCAGUGUCAAUCUGUGAGGCUGACUGUAUAGGGCUAGAUACAGAUUUCAGGUUAUCCAGGCAUUAACUUGUAACAAGUCUGACAUUCAUGGGUUUAGACUGGUUUUGGUGAUCACAUUAGCUUUUAUAUGUGUAAAUGCAAUUGUGCCUUAAUGAGGGAGAAGUUUGGAGUUUAGAGUAAAAUGAUUCUAGAUGUGGAAGAUGAAAGUUAAACAGGAUCAUGAGCUAGACUAGAGGCAGUGGAAAUAUUCCCAUAUAUUUUGGUAAUACUGGGCUGGAAUUUAAAUUUGUUUCUCUGCGAAUGCAAGUUGACUCCAUAUGCCAUUUUCAUACAUAAGUGCAUCUGAAAACUGUCAAAGCUUGUGCUGCAAAGGAAUAUUUUUAAUGGAUUUUGUAUUGAAGAGUAGUAGGAGUCAUACCCUCUGAAUCCAAUUUUGGUCUGCUUGCUAAGAUUCAGUGCUUAGUGUGUGCCUCCGUUCACUUGUGUAAAAAUUGAAUAAAGUAGUAUUGACAUAUAUCAUCA